UGGGGAAUAUUGCACAAUGGGCGAAAGCCUGAUGCAGCGACGCCGCGUGAGGGAUGACGGCCUUCGGGUUGUAAACCUCUUUCAGUAGGGACGAAGCGCAAGUGACGGUACCUGCAGAAGAAGCACCGGCUAACUACGUGCCAGCAGCCGCGGUAAUACGUAGGGUGCGAGCGUUGUCCGGAAUUACUGAGCGUAAAGAGCUCGUAGGCGGUUUGUCACGUCGUCUGUGAAAUCCUAGGGCUUAACCCUGGACGUGCAGGCGAUACGGGCUGACUUGAGUACUACAGGGGAGACUGGAAUUUCUGGUGUAGCGGUGGAAUGCACAGAUAUCAGGAAGAACACCGAUGGCGAAGGCAGGUCUCUGGGUAGUAACUGACGCUGAGGAGCGAAAGCAUGGGUAGCGAACAGG
rnacentral:rRNA from 1 species